rnacentral:rRNA from 1 species
AUCCAGACUCCUACGGGAGGCAGCAGUGGGGAAUAUUGGGCAAUGGGCGCAAGCCUGACCCAGCAACGCCGCGUGAAGGAAGAAGGCCCUCGGGUUGUAAACUUCUUUUGUCAGGGACGAAGCAAGUGACGGUACCUGACGAAUAAGCCACGGCUAACUACGUGCCAGCAGCCGCGGUAAUACGUAGGGGGCAAGCGUUAUCCGGAUUUACUGGGUGUAAAGGGGGCGCAGACGGCAGCGCAAGCCAGGAGUGAAAGCCCGGGGCCCAACCGUGGGACUGCUCUGGAAACUGUGCGGCUUGAGUGCGGGAGGGGCAGGCGGAAUUCCGUGUGUAGCGGUGAAAUGCGUAGAUAUACGGAGGAACACCAGUGGCGAAGGCGGAUUGCUGGACAGUAACUGACGCUGAGGCGCGAAAGCGUGGGGAGCAAACAGGAUUAGAUACCCCCGUA